GUUCCGAUCCUGGCUCAGAUUGAACGCUGGCGGGAUGUACACAUGCAGUCGAACAGCGGCACAGGACUUCGGUCUGGUGGCGAGUGGCGAACGGGUGAGUAAUGUAUCGGAACGUGCCUAGUAGCGGGGGAUAACUACGCGAAAGCGUAGCUCAUCUACACCAUACGCCCUUCGGGGAAAGCGGGGGACCUUCGGGCCUCGCACUAUUAGAGCAGCCGAUAUCUGGAUUAGCUAGUUGGUGGGGGUAACGGCUCACCAAGGCGGCGAUCGCCCAGCUGGUUUGAGAGGACGACCAGCCACACUGGGACUGGGCGGCCGAACUCACGGGGAGGCAUGAUGGGGAAUUUUUGGACGUGGGGAAACCCUGAUCCAUGCAUCCGCAUGUGCGAUGAAGGCCUUCAGGUUGUAAACCUUUUUGGCGGAAAGAAACGGCUGAAGGACCAACACAUGCAGCGAAGGCAAUGCAGAAUGAGCACCGGCUAACUACGUGCCAGCAGCCGCGGUAAUACGUAGGGUGCAAGCGUUAAUCGGAAUUACUGGGCGUAAAGCGUGCGCAGGCGGUUCCGGAAAGAAGAUGUGAAAUCCCAGGCUUAACUUUGGAACUGCAUUUUUUUAACUACCGAGCUAGAGUGUCAGAGGAGUGGAAUUCCAUGAUAAUAGCAGUGAAAUGCGUAGAUAUGCGGAGAGAACACACCCGAUGGCGAAGCAGCCUCCUGGGAUAACACUGACAUCGCUGCACCAAAAAGCGUGAGGCAACAGGAUUAGAUACCUGGUAGUCCACUUUCAUUGAUCUCCACUUCAGCUGUUGGGGCCUUCGGGCCUUGUUAGCGCAGCUAACGCGUGAAGUUGACCGCCUGGGAGAUACGGUCGCAAGGUCAAAACUCAAAGGAAUUGACGGGGACCCGCACAAGCGGUGGAUGAUGUGGAUUAAUUCGAUGCAACGCGAAAAACCUUACCUACAUGAGCAUGUCUGAAUCCCGAAGAGAUUUGGGGAGUGCUCGCAAGAGAACCGAACACAGGUGCUGCAUGGCUGUCUGAUAAAGCUCGUGUCGUGAGAUGUUGGGUUAAGUCCGCAACGAAGCGCAACCCUUGUCAUUAGUUGCUGAAAGGGCACUCCUAAUGAGACUGCAGUAUUGAUAAACCGGGGAGGAAGGUGGGGAUGACGUCAAGUCCUCAUGGCCCAUAUGGGUAGGGCUUCACACGUCAUGCAAUGGUCGGGACAGAGGGUCGCCAGCCCGCGAAGGCCAAUCCCAGAAACCCGAUCGUAGUCCGGAUCGCAGUCUGCAACUCGACUGCGUGAAGUCGGAAUCGCUAGUAAUCGCGGAUCGGCAUGUCGCGGUGAUAGUUUUCACGGGUCUUGUACACCGCCCGUCACACCAUGGGAGUGGGUUUUACCAGUGAUUAGCCUAACCGUAAAGGAGGGCGAUUCUACAGUAGGAUUCAUGACUGGGGUGAAGUCGCUAACAAGGUAG
rnacentral:rRNA from 1 species